rnacentral:rRNA from 1 species
AUUGAACGCUGGCGGCAUGCCUUACACAUGCAAGUCGAACGGCAGCGGGCCUUCGGGUGCCGGCGAGUGGCGAACGGGUGAGUAAUGCAUCGGAACGUGCCAUUGAGUGGGGGGAUAACGUAGCGAAAGUUACGCUAAUACCGCAUAUUCUGUGAGCAGGAAAGCAGGGGACCGCAAGGCCUUGCGCUCUUUGAGCGGCCGAUGUCAGAUUAGCUAGUUGGUGAGGUAAAGGCUUACCAAGGCGACGAUCUGUAGCGGGUCUGAGAGGAUGAUCCGCCACACUGGAACUGAGACACGGUCCAGACUCCUACGGGAGGCAGCAGUGGGGAAUUUUGGACAAUGGGCGCAAGCCUGAUCCAGCCAUGCCGCGUGAGUGAAGAA